ACCAACAUCAUAAAUUUACAAACAAAAAAAAUCACAACAUAAGUCAAAUAUAAAAAAAAUAAUAUAAAUUCAAUUACACCACCAUUAAAAUUCACAAAUAAAAUUAAUGAAUUUAAUUUAAGUAAUUAAACAAAAAACCUAAUUAAAAUAAUUAAAGUAAGUCUGAAAUUAAAGUAAUUCAUAAAGUUAAGGAAGAUGAGAAACUACAUUUAUGCAUAAUAAUAAUUAUAAUAAUGGAGGAUGAUGAUAGAUAAUAAUUAUGAGAGGGACACCUCCACGAUCAAAUGAUUUAAUUGAUUGGUUCUGUAAAUGCAAUCCAUGGAAGCACAAAACGACACCAAAAAUGCCUCGUCUUGCUCACUGAAAAUUUGAAAUUGAUUUGCUGGAAAUUUGCGUGCCCACCUUUUGUAUUGGUCGGUCUACUUUGUCCUUCGACGUUGAGAUCUGGUGCCACAAACCAACCUUCUCUGAGAUUGGAUGAGUAUUCCCUUCUGGAAACAGCGGUCAAAGAUAGAAAGAAUAGACAAGGCAGCCGUGUGUGGUGUGCUUCGCCAGCCAUUGAUGCAGCGGGUUGCCGGCGUUCGAUGACAGCGAAAUGCACUAAGCAAGGCGAGGCACGGCAGCUGGUGUUCGACGACAGCAACGCGUGCUCAGCUCAGGCGAGGCAUCCAGCGUUCGAUGACAGCUAUUGCGAAGAGGACGGCGUUCAACGGUUAGGGAUUUGGGAUUGUUUUUCAGUUCAGUCGCUUGUGAGUGGUGGGGAGCAGGGGAGGCGUGAAUAAUUUAGGGUUACUCGAUUUGUUGUUUUUUUUUUCAAUUUUAAUUUAUAUAUUUUUUAAUACAAAUUUAUUAAUUUAAUAAUAUAAUUAAAAAUUAACCUGGAUCUAAAUAUUCAAUUUUCUGAAUACACUUGUAUUUGAAUCCAUACGGAUCAUGAUUCUUAAACUCCGGAUCCGUAUUUUUUAAUGUGCGGAUUCAGAUUUUUUCAAAUCCGAAUCUUCUAGAUUUUUGCAGAUCCGGGCCGGACCUAGAUUCUUU
rnacentral:lncRNA from 1 species